rnacentral:rRNA from 1 species
GACGAACGCUGGCGGCGUGCUUAACACAUGCAAGUCGAACGGAAAGGCCCUGCUUUUGUGGGGUGCUCGAGUGGCGAACGGGUGAGUAACACGUGAGUAGCCUGCCCUUGACUUUGGGAUAACUUCAGGAAACUGGGGCUAAUACCGGAUAGGAGCUCCUGCUGCAUGGUGGGGGUUGGUAAGUUUCGGCGGUUGGGGAUGGACUCGCGGCUUAUCAGCUUGUUGGUGGGGUAGUGGCUUACCAAGGCUUUGACGGGUAGCCGGCCUGAGAGGGUGACCGGCCACAUUGGGACUGAGAUACGGCCCAGACUCCUACGGGAGGCAGCAGUGGGGAAUAUUGCACAAUGGGCGGAAGCCUGAUGCAGCAACGCCGCGUGCGGGAUGACGGCCUUCGGGUUGUAAACCGCUUUCGCCUGUGACGAAGCGUGAGUGACGGUAAUGGGUAAAGAAGCACCGGCUAACUACGUG